AUUAUCUUCUCUUUUGUUCUUCAAGAAACUAGACUCCUCUCAUCUCCUUUGAGCCAAGCAUCCAUUUUUCCCUCUUUUCAAGAGGAAAACAACAAGUUUUGGGGUUUAAAACAGUGAUAUCAUGUUGCUCUUCAUCCACACAGCUAUACCUCUAUAGGGUCUUCCACUUUUGUUUUGAAAGGAGCUACGAGCUUAAGAAUGCAAGGGGUGUUUGCCCAUAUGGUGUGCAUCCUGACUUCUCGACAUCCUGCCAAAUCCCAAAUGGGUGUUGAUAGCAUCGCAAUAGAUCUUAUCCAUUGUUUGAAGGUACUACUCCUGAUGUGUUACUGAAGAGCAUGCCAAUCACGUGCUUUGCAUAAGGACAUUUCAAUCAUUUGGAAUCAUUUGCAUUUAUUUGCCACAUGUAUAAGACACUUGUUGCAUAGAUGGCACAGAAACAUCAGACGUACACAUCAUCGUUCAGUCUACGAGUGGACGUAAUUUCUAAUCGAAGGAUCUUGUUCACAACAUUGUCCAACACAUGGGAGCAUUGCUAAAAAAAAGUAAAGGAUGCCUAAACUAAAUAGGCCAAAGCAUAGGGGUGUGUCGUCACAACUUCGUUUAAAUUUUAGCGUAUAUUAAUUUUGGAAUGUCCUUGUAUAUUUGUAUAGAAACUUAUUUUGUGAGCCAAAUGUUGUAUUCAUCAUUGUGCCUAUG